AGUGUCUUCAACUUCCAUAAAACAGAAGGAAAUGGGAGCCUCAGACUUUAUCAGUGACAUCCUGAACUGGGGAGGAAAAAUAAAAAGACAAAGAUGUGUCUUUUUGCCAUCACUAUGUUUGAUUCAUUUUCCCUGCAGAUCUUCCUGUAGCAAUUUUAAACCUGCACCUGCUCCAGUGGUCUUGGUCUGUCCUUUCAAAAGGACCUUCAGGACCAGCAGAGCUAAAUGCC